rnacentral:lncRNA from 1 species
CAGUAAUACCGCCAACACUCUGGGGAAAAAGUCAAUAUCAAAACUGAAACAAAGCCCUGUGUUGUGAAGCAGUUUAGUAACAGGAAUUUGGAAGAGAGCAUGUGAGCUCACUUCAUAGUAAAACAGGUCCUGCAAGGCCAGGUAACUCAGGAAGCAGAAUGGUAAUUAUUCACAGAAGAAAGCCGGUAGUGUACUGUUACAAUACUACUGUAGCAAGUCAGAAGGUCACAAGGCUUGCAGGGUAGCUGACACAACUCGAAACUGCUGGGCCCCCUUCACAAAGAAAGAAUAAGAUGGGAGAGAAUGGAGCUGGUUUACCUAACACCUCUUUGCAAGGUAAAAAGAUGGCUUAUCAGAAGGUCAAUGCAGAUUUAAGAACCCCAGGACACUCACAGUACUUAGACAAUGAUGACAUCCAAGCCAUAGCACUUGAUUUAGAGUAGGAUAUGGAGAAGGAACUGGAAGAGCCUGCCUUUGACCAGUUCCAACCAGAUAAUGCUGAGACUCAGAACUUGGGGCAGNNNNNNNNNNNNNNNNNNNNNNNNNNNNNNNNNNNNNNNNNNNNNNNNNNNNNNNNNAGCAACCAUUAGAACUUUUGCUACCUUUUAAAAUUAAUUUGCACAGCCACCAUUCUAUUUAUUUUUGGAAUUCUAAUAGGUUAUUAUGCACACACGAAUUGCCCUCCUGACGCCACACCAUCAAGAUCAAUUGACCCUCAUUUAUACCAGGAUAUUCUCAACACAAUCAAAGCAGAAGAUAUUAAGAAAUCCUUCAGAAAUUUGGUAAAACUCUAUAAAAGUGAAGAUGACAUGGAAAUUUCAAAGAAGAUUAAGACUCACUGGACAGCAUUGGGCUUGGAAGAUACACAGAUUCUGAACUACUCAGUGUUGCUGGAUUUCCCUGGGCCCUCUCCAAGCACCAUCACUGUGAGCAGCACUGGCCAGUGCUUUUAUCCUGAUGGCCAACCUUGCAGGGAAGAAGCCAGAAAAGGCCAUAGCCAAGAUCUGCUCUCAUCAUAUGCAGCCUAUUCUGCCAAAGGAACUCUCCAGGCUGAUGUCAUCGAUGUGAGUUAUGGAACUACAGAUGAUUUUAAAAGGAUUACAAAAUUAAAAAAUACAACAAAUCAAAUUGCACUGCUAAAAUUAGGAAAAUUACCACUGCUCUAUAAGGCAUGAAGACAUGAUUUCAAAUUGCCAGCAUCCAUAUAAAAUG